rnacentral:rRNA from 1 species
GACGAACGCUGGCGGCGUGCUUAACACAUGCAAGUCGAACGGAAAGGCCCUGCUUUUGUGGGGUGCUCGAGUGGCGAACGGGUGAGUAACACGUGAGUAACCUGCCCUUGACUUUGGGAUAACUUCAGGAAACUGGGGCUAAUACCGGAUAGGAGCUCCUGCUGCAGGGGGGGGGUUGGAAAGUUUCGGCGGUGGGGGAUGGACUCGCGGCUUAUCAGCUUGUUGGUGGGGGAGUGGCUUACCAAGGCUUUGACGGGUAGCCGGCCUGGGAGGGUGACCGGCCGCAUUGGGACUGAGAUGCGGCCCCGACUCCUACGGGAGGCAGCAGUGGGGAAUAUUGCACCAUGGGCGGAAGCCUGAUGCAGCAACGCCGCGUGCGGGAUGACGGCCGUCGGGUUGUAAACCGCUUUCGCCUGUGACGAAGCGUGAGUGACGGUAAUGGGUAAAGAAGCACCGGCUAACUACGUG